UAGUCGCCGCGGUAAUACAGAGGGUGCGAGCGUUAAUCGGAAUUACUGGGCGUAAAGGGCGCGUAGGCGGUUAGGAAGGUGUGAUGUGAAAGCCCUGGGCUUAACCUAGGAAGUGCGUCGCAAACCAACUAGCUGGAGUAUAAGAGAGGGUGGCGGAAUUUCCGGUGUAGCGGUGAAAUGCGUAGAGAUCUGAAGGAACGUCAAUGGCGAAGGCAGCCACCUGGCUUAAUACUGACGCUGAGGCGCGAAAGCGUGGGGAGCGAACAGGAUUAGAUACCCCAGUAGUCCCUGUCUCUUAUAA
rnacentral:rRNA from 1 species